AUCGCUUCUCGACCUUAUGGCUAAGAUCAAAGUGUAGUACGUGUUCUUGUCAUCUGAUAGACUCUCCAUCGGAGGACAACAAAUGUUAAUCAGAUUUUUGGAAAUAGUCGGGGUGUUUAAGGGCUUGCUCUACCCCUGCCGCGGGUUGGCCCGGUACUGCAGUACCACCGGGGUUUCGAGGCAUCAUAU
rnacentral:snRNA from 2 species